AACGAACGCUGGCGGCAGGCCUAACACAUGCAAGUCGAGCGCGUAGCAAUACGAGCGGCGCACGGGAUAGUAACGCGUGGGAACCUACCUUUCGGUUCGGAAUAACAUCGGGAAACUGGUGCUAAUACCGGAUACGCCCUUCGGGGGAAACAUUUAUUGCCGAUAGAUGGGCCCGCGUUGGAUUAGCUAGUUGGUGAGGUAACGGCUAACCAAGGCAACGAUCCAUAGCUGGUCUGAGAGGAUGAUCAGCAUCACUGGGACUGAGACACGGCCCAGACUCCUUCGGGAGGGAGCAGUGGGGAAUAUUGAACAAUGGGCGCGACCCUGCUCCAGCCAUGCCGCGUGACUGAUGAAGGCCUCCGGGUUGUACAGUUCUUUUGGUGCGCACCCUGAUGACGGUACCCACAGAAUAAGCGCCCGCUAACUUCGUGCCAGCCGCCGCAGUAA
rnacentral:rRNA from 1 species